GAUGAAGAACGUAGCGAAAUGCGAUACUUGGUGUGAAUUGCAGAAUCCCGUGAACCAUCGAGUCUUUGAACGCAAGUUGCGCCCGAAGCCUUUUGGCCGAGGGCACGUCUGCCUGGGCGUCACGCAUCGCGUCGCCCCCCACAAUUCUCCGUAAAGGGAACGUGUGUUUUGGGGGCGGAUAUUGGUCUCCCGUGCUCAUGGCGUGGUUGGCCGAAAUAGGAGUCCUUUCGAUGGACGCACGAACUAGUGGUGGUCGUAAAAACCCUCGUCUUUUGUUUCGUGCUGUUGCUCGCAAGGUAAACUCUUUAAAAACCCCAAUGUGUCGUCUCUUGACGACGCUUCGACCGCGACCCCAGGUCAGGCGGGACUACCCGCUGAGUUUAAGCAUAUCAAUAAGCGGAGGA
rnacentral:misc_RNA from 1 species